GUGCAGCAGGCGAGAAACUUUACAAUGUGCGAAAGCACGAUAAGGGAACUCUGAGUGCCUCCUAAGGAGGCUGUUCUGAUGUCUAAAAGCAACAGAAGUAAGGGCUGGGUAAGACCGGUGCCAGCCGCCGCGGUAACACCGGCAGCCCAAGUGGUAGCCACGUUUAUUGGGUCUAAAGCGUUCGUAGCCGGCCAGGUAAGUUCCUUGGUAAAUUUAGCCGCUUAACGGUUAAGCUUUCAGGGAAUACUGCUUGGCUUGGGACUGGGAGAGGUCAGAGGUACUCCGGGGGUAGGGGUGAAAUCUAUUAAUCCCUGGGGGACCACCGGUAGCGAAGGCGUCUGACCAGACCAGGUCCGACGGUGAGGGACGAAGGCUAGGGGCGCGAACCGGAUUAGAUACCCCCGUAGU
rnacentral:rRNA from 1 species